GAGUCUCAUCACCUCUCAACUAGGUCAGCUGUUUCAACCUGGAACACUAUUCUGAGUCUCCGCACCUCUCAACGAGUUGAACUUGUUGACUGAUGCCAAGGAGGCGGCUGCUAAGAAGGGAGCAGCUGGGGACCAGAAGACUGCAGCCAAGGCAGCACUGGUCCACACCUGCCCUGUCUGUCAGACACACGAUGACCACGGUUUGAAUGCUGCAACUGAGACGGAAUGAAGUCGAGGGACACACGCUGAGGACCCCGAGAAUGACUGGACAUGGGCCGGAUAUUUGUGACAACGACCUAAAAGGGGUGCAGAAGCACACCAGCACCCCAUUUUAUAUUUAUUCCAUGGCCAACCAUCCUUCUCGCUAUUCCACAUUAUGUAUUUUAUGCCCCAUGGUGCCUCAACUUCGUAUACUUUGGAACUCUCCAUCUUAUCUCUAUAAACCCACCCUAACUUCACCCAUUUUCCCCAUGCUGCUUCCUUCACUUUUUCUUCUCCUGAUUUGAUCAUAUCUAGAAUCAGUAACACGUUUAAGUGUUGUGGUGUAGUGUUUUUACUACCUUUUGUUCACCUGUGUAAUUUCGUUGUGCUUAUUCUGGUAUUCGGACUGAAUCCAGUGUUAAUUGACAGCAGCAACAUGGGCCUGUUAGAAUGACAAGAAGGGUGUUGCUAUAGCUGUGUUUAGGCAUGGCUUCCUUGUUUUGAGUCUUGUUAAUAAGUGCGUCUCUCAUUCUGCCUGAGUUGACCUAGUAUUUUAUAUAAAAGCUACCUUACACAUCCAGUUGUUUCUACAUUUGUAACUCACCCACCAAAAAAAUCACAAUAUGCUGUUGUAAAUGAGAAAUCGGAAGAAUCUGUGGGCUCUCAUAAUGGCUCAUAUGGUGCUCUUCGAUGUCCCAGGUUUGUGGCAUUGAUUAAUAAAUAAUGUCAUCUUUACUUAAAGUCAGAUGUUAUGUAUAAAAGUCAUUUUUUACUAUUUUGAUUUAUUUGAAGCAAUGUAAUUGUUGGAGUUCAGGUUUUUGACGUGAUUGAUUGGUGACUCGGUGCAUUCUUGUC